UCAAGGUUCAAAAAGAUGAAGCAAACAGAAUAGUAACCCAUUUAGAAAGUGAAUUAUCAAAAUUGAAAGAAUUCCAGCUACAUUCUGAACAAGAAUACAAGGAACUUUUGAAUUUUGUAACAUACCAUAUUGACCUGAUGGUUGGAAUGUUUACAUUAAAAUCUGCAGAAACAUUUGAGGCUUUGUCUCUCUGCCCACAAGUUAAGGAACCAAAGUAUCAAGUUAUGGAAAUUAAAAGUAAGAUGAUGUGGAUUGUUGAGGAAGCAAGAGUUCUUAAUCUUGAAGAGCUUCGGCGAAAGAAAAGAAAGGAUCAACAGACAAGUGAUAAAUAAAUAUACAUUAUAAGUUAUUUUAAUGGUUUUAGUUAAUUAUAUCUGCAUUUUUCAAUUAAUAUCUCAUCAAACAUAAUUUAGAUUUAGUGGCAUUGAACUAUUUAUAUUCAUUAUCCGUCCAAUUUAAAAAUUAUGAAAUAUCUUAGUCAUCAUACAUGUUUUUAUAAAGCAUUUUUUAUGUAAAUUAAUACUUCAAUUUUUAUGGUUGUGAAAAAUUCUGUAAUGUAAAAGUUCCUGUGUUUUGUGAACAACAUAAUAUUUUGGACAUAAUACAAUAUCUGAUUUGCACGUUUUGUAAAAAACAAAUGAUAUUAUCAAAAAUGUAAGUUGAAGUAACUUCACAGUACUUUGACUACUUACAAUCAUUGUUCUACACAUUUUUACCAUUUUUUAUAAUAAAUUGUAGGAAAAGAAAUGUAUUUACUUUUGUAUAUAGAAGCCUUAAUGAGUCAGUGGGCACUUAUUCAUUGUUGGUAAGUGAUAUAUGCAGUGAUUAUAUAGAUGUUGCUUGAUUACUUUAUAUUCAGUAAUAUUACAAUGAGAUGUCAUGAGUCAUAGGAAAAUUUCAGAUAUAGUUGUCACAGCAGAUGGACAGCUGAAGAAAUUAAAUGACAGCACAUAACUAGAAGGGAUUCACAGGUGGAAGAAACUAUCAAUAUUGCCAAGGAAUAAUGGGAAUGUAAUAAAUGCCUAGUUUUCUCGUUCAUUAUGCUACUUAGGACAAAGUAUGUUCUUAUUACUAAUAGAACUUUUCCCCUCAUCACACACCCAGAAUUUUUAUGAAAUGACUCCACUACAUUAAUCUUAAGCUGGUUAUAUGACAAAAAGUUAUAUAGUACCUUGAUUUCAAAUUUUAUAUAACAAAAUUGUAUCCGUGAAAGGGUAUAGUUUUUAUAUAAUGAAUUUGAUAGUUUAUGUAAAUACUUGAAGGAAAAUGGUCUCUGCAGUUAAUGACCCUGAAGAAACAGGAGACUUUUAUACAGUUAAAGUAAUAAAGUUUGUGGUUGGUCAGUUAUUAAUAACUUUUGAACUUAAGCAUGCUCAAAAAGUUUAAGUGAAAUAUGUUUUUCAUACACAGGUUUAUGGCCAUCUGUAAUAGACAAUUGUCCUGUUUGAAACUGAAAACUGUUUGGCCGUGUGAUAUUAUCAGGGCUGGAAAGUUUGUCAAUAACAUCAAAUUACCAAUUAAUUUAACUAUACCAUACAUUACUUCUCUCAUAAAUAGCUAUUCUCGUUUAUUGCAACCCUCUAUAUGCAAAAAUAUAUAUAUUUAUGCAUGUCACAUAGGACACAUCCUUUUCAUUUUACCUGUUUUUAUAAUUUUUGGGAUAGAGUUACAUAAAUAUUAUAUGGUUUGGAUCACUAUCUGACCUUAGUUCUCUCUCACUUGAAUGUGCUCCUCAGUUUCCAUCCAUAUGUGCAACAUCUUUCUAUGAUGGGUGAAGAGUAUACCUGUUUCAGAAGUGGUGUAGUCCCCCACAUCAGAUCUUAGAAUCUGACUGUCUCCUCUUCAGGAGUGUCCUUCAGAUGCUUUUGAAGGAUACUUCUUUCCUUCUUUCUCUCGCACCGGUCCUUCCAACUAUUCAUGUGGGAUUCUAGCUAUUUAUGUGAGCGAAGGUAAUGUACCGUAUCAGAACUUAUAAUUUUCCUAUACUGAAAAUGUAUUUGUGAUAGAUACCUCCCUCACACUUCCCACCCU